ensembl:lncRNA
CGGGUCCGCGCCCCCCGCUGCUGCAGGAGGGCCGGCUCCCUGGCUCCCGCCCGCGCGCCGCCCUGGGAGGUGCACCUGCGGGGUCCGUCGGCGUCCCCCGCGCGGUGUCGGACGCCUGAUGCUCCAUGGGCGUCUGUUUACUUGUCUCUUUGAGGGGAGGGACGGGCGACAGCUGCCUCCACCUUGACGCUCUCCUCACUCCUAAACUGGGGCUCUGGGGAGCAGUAUACCGUUGAAUCACUUUCCCCAUUCUGCCAACGUCUGUCUUCUGAUUGGAGCGUUUAAAUCGUUAUUGUUGGAGGCCUCGCGCUCACGGGGUUACCUGUCCUUACAGGCUUCGUUCCGAAGACUUAACCCCUGAAAGCACUAACGUGUCUCCGACCGAUGCCGGAGCCUGUCACUUACAGUCCUUGCCGCUUUCCCCGCAGCUGUCUACAGUAUUUGAAUUACUGUCUUCUUCGCAUUUCUGGUUACUAGUCAACAACUGUUUAAUUUCUAUCCAAGGAUGAUUAAAUCGACGUACACUGAAACAAGAAAUGUGCACUCACAAUACUAAAGGAUGACCUGGUCCGUGAUACUUUGGUCGCUUCCUCUGCUUAUUGGUUCGACAAGCCUCCUAGGUCUGGUACGCUGCUCGCUCACACCUACUACUCAACCCUCGACGAUUUAGGUGUGGUUGUUCCUCUCUGGGCAGGAGCAGUAAUUGCCCGUUUUUGCCAUAAAUCUAAAGCGUGUGGAUGGUGGGAGAGAGAAACUGCCUUUUCCUCUGUGGGGCCAACCAUCUGGAGACAUUGGGACGAGACUUGUCUGCACAAAGAGAGAAUGACAUCAAACUACACCAAACAUUUGGAAAUUUCGGGGCGAGAGACUUGAGGACGUGAUUCGAAUCCUGAGGUCGCCUCCCCCUGAUGCGGGGCAGGUGCUGGGAACACAGCAUGCAACCGGCAAGAGGCCAUCUCUGCCCUCAGGAGGUCUUGGAGGAGCCUGGUGGGAGACACAGCUACAUAACCAGGAGACGGCAACUCCGGGUGAUGAGGACUUCAGGGGAAGCUGGAAGUUGGAGAGGCAGCUACCUCAUCAGGGGUGUGGGAGGCAGGAACCCGCUGUGAGCCCUACCCAAGGACCUGGGCGGCAUUUCAGGGCUCCUCCUGCAACUUGUCCACGACGAAUUCACCUGCUUCAAAGGCGAGGAUCACCGUGUGAGGAGGGUGCUCAUCUGGUCAUCAUCACUGCCAAGCAGAGCAGAAAUUCCCGAGUUCAGCGGAAGAUGUUGUGUCCUGGACCAGCCUUUGGAAACAGUACCCAAAGGGCAUCUAUCAGUGGAGAGGUGGCUCAGCCCCACCUUCAUGUGAGUGUUUCUGUUGGAAUACCUGAGCCCUAGCUAGUCUGUCCCAUUGGAUCUUGGAGACAUCUUCCCAUAGAUUCUUGACUGCCUCAAGGUUCUAAUUUUGGCCUGAACAAACAGCCUGUCAUGUUUCCUGUUGUCAUGCUUAGUUGCAGGUGUGUGUGUGUGUGUAAACCACAAUUCAACAACAUCAAACAACAAGUUCUUUAUUGUAGGAACUCACGUUCCUUUAAUACACUAAAGAGAACCUUGCCCUUUAAGGAGGGGAAGAGGAUGUGUGAUGUGCAAACGUAUUAAGAUGCAGAGCUCAUCUGGGCGUAUCUGGAGUCUCUCGUGUCCUACAGAACAUGCUUGCAGGAUCACUGCCUGGAGGAUGCAGUCCUAACCCCUCAGCAUAUAAGUCAACGACCAC